rnacentral:rRNA from 1 species
AUUGAACGCUGGCGGCAUGCCUUACACAUGCAAGUCGAACGGCAGCACGGGUGCUUGCACCUGGUGGCGAGUGGCGAACGGGUGAGUAAUACAUCGGAACAUGUCCUGUAGUGGGGGAUAGCCCGGCGAAAGCCGGAUUAAUACCGCAUACGAUCUACGGAUGAAAGCGGGGGACCUUCGGGCCUCGCGCUAUAGGGUUGGCCGAUAGCUGAUUAGCUAGUUGGUGGGGUAAAGGCCUACCAAGGCGACGAUCAGUAGCUGGUCUGAGAGGACGACCAGCCACACUGGGACUGAGACACGGCCCAGACUCCUACGGGAGGCAGCAGUGGGGAAUUUUGGACAAUGGGCGAAAGCCUGAUCCACCAAUGCCGCGUGUGUGAAGAAGGCCUUCGGGUUGUAAAGCACUUUUGUCCGGAAAGAAAUCCUUGGCUCUAAUACAGUCGGGGGAUGACGGUACCGGAAGAAUAAGCACCGGCUAACUACGUG